rnacentral:rRNA from 1 species
GGGUUGUGAGGUUAAGCGACUAAGCGUACACGGUGGAUGCCCUGGCAGUCAGAGGCGAUGAAGGACGUGCUAAUCUGCGAAAAGCGUCGGUAAGGUGAUAUGAACCGUUAUAACCGGCGAUGUCCGAAUGGGGAAACCCAGUGCAAUUCGUUGCACUAUCGUUAACUGAAUACAUAGGUUAACGAGGCGAACCGGGGGAACUGAAACAUCUAAGUACCCCGAGGAAAAGAAAUCAACCGAGAUUCCCCCAGUAGCGGCGAGCGAACGGGGAGCAGCCCAGAGUCUGAAUCAGCUUGUGUGUUAGUGGAACGGUCUGGAAAGUCCGACGGUACAGGGUGAUAGUCCCGUACACCAAAAUGCACAGGCUGUGAACUCGAAGAGUAGGGCGGGACACGUGGUAUCCUGUCUGAAUAUGGGGGACCAUCCUCCAAGGCUAAAUACUCCUGACUGACCGAUAGUGAACCAGUACCGUGAGGGAAAGGCGAAAAGAACCCCGGCGAGGGGAGUGAAAAAGAACCUGAAACCGUGUACGUACAAGCAGUGGGAGCACCUUCGGGUGUGACUGCGUACCUUUUGUAUAAUGGGUCAGCGACUUAUAUUCUGUAGCAAGGUUAACCGUAUAGGGGAGCCGCAGGGAAACCGAGUCUUAACUGGGCGUUAAGUUGCAGGGUAUAGACCCGAAACCCGGUGAUCUAGCCAUGGGCAGGUUGAAGGUUGGGUAACACUAACUGGAGGACCGAACCGACUAAUGUUGAAAAAUUAGCGGAUGACUUGUGGCUGGGGGUGAAAGGCCAAUCAAACCGGGAGAUAGCUGGUUCUCCCCGAAAGCUAUUUAGGUAGCGCCUCGUGAACUCAUCUUCGGGGGUAGAGCACUGUUUCGGCUAGGGGGUCAUCCCGACUUACCAACCCGAUGCAAACUACGAAUACCGAAGAAUGUUAUCACGGGAGACACACGGCGGGUGCUAACGUCCGUCGUGAAGAGGGAAACAACCCAGACCGCCAGCUAAGGUCCCAAAGUCAUGGUUAAGUGGGAAACGAUGUGGGAAGGCACAGACAGCCAGGAUGUUGGCUUAGAAGCAGCCAUCAUUUAAAGAAAGCGUAAUAGCUCACUGGUCGAGUCGGCCUGCGCGGAAGAUGUAACGGGGCUAAACCAUGCACCGAAGCUGCGGCAGCGACACUAUGUGUUGUUGGGUAGGGGAGCGUUCUGUAAGCCUGCGAAGGUGACCUGUGAGGGUUGCUGGAGGUAUCAGAAGUGCGAAUGCUGACAUAAGUAACGAUAAAGCGGGUGAAAAGCCCGCUCGCCGGAAGACCAAGGGUUCCUGUCCAACGUUAAUCGGGGCAGGGUGAGUCGACCCCUAAGGCGAGGCCGAAAGGCGUAGUCGAUGGGAAACAGGUUAAUAUUCCUGUACUUGGUGUUACUGCGAAGGGGGGACGGAGAAGGCUAUGUUAGCCGGGCGACGGUUGUCCCGGUUUAAGCAUGUAGGCUGGUUGUCCAGGCAAAUCCGGAUAAUCAAGGCUGAGGUGUGAUGACGAGGCACUACGGUGCUGAAGUAACAAAUGCCCUGCUUCCAGGAAAAGCCUCUAAGCAUCAGGUAACAUUAAAUCGUACCCCAAACCGACACAGGUGGUCAGGUAGAGAAUACCAAGGCGCUUGAGAGAACUCGGGUGAAGGAACUAGGCAAAAUGGUGCCGUAACUUCGGGAGAAGGCACGCUGGUGUGUAGGUGAAGUCCCUGCGGAUGGAGCUGAGACCAGUCGAAGAUACCAGCUGGCUGCAACUGUUUAUUAAAAACACAGCACUGUGCAAACACGAAAGUGGACGUAUACGGUGUGACGCCUGCCCGGUGCCGGAAGGUUAAUUGAUGGGGUUAUCCGUAAGGAGAAGCUCUUGAUCGAAGCCCCGGUAAACGGCGGCCGUAACUAUAACGGUCCUAAGGUAGCGAAAUUCCUUGUCGGGUAAGUUCCGACCUGCACGAAUGGCGUAAUGAUGGCCAGGCUGUCUCCACCCGAGACUCAGUGAAAUUGAACUCGCUGUGAAGAUGCAGUGUACCCGCGGCAAGACGGAAAGACCCCGUGAACCUUUACUAUAGCUUGACACUGAACAUUGAGCCUUGAUGUGUAGGAUAGGUGGGAGGCUUUGAAGCGUGGACGCCAGUCUGCGUGGAGCCAACCUUGAAAUACCACCCUUUAAUGUUUGAUGUUCUAACGUUGGCCCCUGACCGGGGUUGCGGACAGUGUCUGGUGGGUAGUUUGACUGGGGCGGUCUCCUCCCAAAGCGUAACGGAGGAGCACGAAGGUUAGCUAAUCCUGGUCGGACAUCAGGAGGUUAGUGCAAUGGCAUAAGCUAGCUUGACUGCGAGCGUGACGGCGCGAGCAGGUGCGAAAGCAGGUCAUAGUGAUCCGGUGGUUCUGAAUGGAAGGGCCAUCGCUCAACGGAUAAAAGGUACUCCGGGGAUAACAGGCUGAUACCGCCCAAGAGUUCAUAUCGACGGCGGUGUUUGGCACCUCGAUGUCGGCUCAUCACAUCCUGGGGCUGAAGUAGGUCCCAAGGGUAUGGCUGUUCGCCAUUUAAAGUGGUACGCGAGCUGGGUUUAGAACGUCGUGAGACAGUUCGGUCCCUAUCUGCCGUGGGCGCUGGAGAAUUGAGGGGGGCUGCUCCUAGUACGAGAGGACCGGAGUGGACGCAUCACUGGUGUUCGGGUUGUCAUGCCAAUGGCACUGCCCGGUAGCUAAAUGCGGAAGAGAUAAGUGCUGAAAGCAUCUAAGCACGAAACUUGCCCCGAGAUGAGUUCUCCCUGAGACUAUAAGUCUCCUGAAGGAACGUUAAAGACGAUGACGUUGAUAGGCCGGGUGUGUAAGCGCAGCGAUGCGUUGAGCUAACCGGUACUAAUGAACCGUGAGGCUUAACCUUACAACGCCGAAG